NCCUCAAAUUCCCAGCGAGUAGCAGCCACCAAGCUGCCACCACCGCCGCCCAUUUCCCUUCUGUUCUUACUCAGACGGCAGCAACGAGCCACCGCCGACUCUACCCGAUUCUGACUUCUCACUCACAAAAACAGCAGCCCCAACAUCAAAACGAAGUUUUAAGACAUCAUAUUCAAUUAUUCAUGCUUUCUUAUGCAUAUGCACAGAUUGUAUCUAUAUAUAUAAUUAUGCGAAUACAUAUGUAUGCUCGUGAUGUAGCUCUACUGUCAUUUUAAUAAAGAUGGCAAAUAAUGUGAGAAUACAAUUUAUAGAGUAG
rnacentral:lncRNA from 1 species